UGAGGUCGGAUGGAGCGAGAACAGAAUCUUCUUCAACAGCCUUUCUUGGUUUGAGGUUCAAUCGCUCGCUCAGAGCCAUCACCUGCUAUCAGAAUAGACUGACGGCAGCAGGCUGGAUCUGAUCCUCAGGACAGAGCAUACCAACCGUGGUUUAGAGUCUGAAGACAGACUUGAGUUUUGAUGUGACCAAGGCUGGCACUGCAUGAAAGUCAACGUGGGUGGAAGCUUCAGAGACAGAGCCCACGUGGGCAUCAACUUAGAAGCUGGGCUGUUGGCUAGUGACACGAAGAAGACGUAUCUCUGCAUAUGUAUGAACUAGCUACAAGGCACGGUCGUUCCAAUGAUACGGGCAAAUAAUGGGAAAAAAUUGGGAGAUGUGCCAUGUACACAGCAUUAAAUGAUGAGAUGUUAUAGCUGAAUUUCCUACUCAGGUACUUAAGGCCAAUUCCCCAAUGGGAAGCUGGGGGAACCCUUGCUCCAACACCUCUGCUGGUAACUGCUUCUGCGCUGCGGAUUCCCAGUGGCACACAUUAUUUUACGAGUUUCCACAUACUGCUGAUUCAUAGCUCCAACUAUUGAGUCGGAGGGUUCCUCAAACCAGCUGGAAGAUGAAAGAGUGAAUACCUCAAGGACCAGAGCCCUUUCCUUGAAUGAAGGAGCCCUUGGAGGGAAGCCCUGGUGAGAAGAGGUCUUGGAUUACCCAGGGUCGGAGCUAUUAUGGUGUAGCUGAAACAGAGGGUAUCUGAAAUAUGUCAAGGUCAUAAAGCUAAGCCAGACUUUUCAAUGAUCAUCACCAUCAUCUUUAUCAUAUAAUCAAGUGUCUAUCUUCAUUUCUUGAAAAUGAUAAAAUGCCUUUCCUAUAUGUAACAUUGUCCCAAUAUGUUGUACACAUUAAAUGUAUAUAUAAACAUGGAAUUUUUAAGAAAAUGAGAAUAAAAUUUCAUAAAUAAUAAUUUAAAUACUUCUAC